rnacentral:rRNA from 1 species
UACAGAGGUCCCAAGCGUUGUUCGGAUUCAUUGGGCGUAAAGGGUGCGUAGGCGGCGCGGUAAGUCGGGUGUGAAAUCUCGGAGCUUAACUCCGAAACUGCAUUCGAUACUGCCGUGCUUGAGGACUGGAGAGGAGACUGGAAUUUACGGUGUAGCGGUGAAAUGCGCAGAUAUCAGGAGGAACACCGGUGGCGAAGGCGGGUCUCUGGGCCGUAACUGACGCUGAGGAGCGAAAGCAUGGGGAGCGAACAGG